UACGUAGGGUGCAAGCGUUAAUCGGAAUUACUGGGCGUAAAGCGUGCGCAGGCGGUUCGGAAAGAAAAGAUGUGAAAUCCCAGAGCUUAACUUUGGAACUGCAUUUUUAACUACCGAGCUAGAGUGUGUCAGAGGGAGGUGGAAUUCCGCGUGUAGCAGUGAAAUGCGUAGAUAUGCGGAGGAACACCGAUGGCGAAGGCAGCCUCCUGGGAUAACACUGACGCUCAUGCACGAAGCGUGGGGAGCAACAGG
rnacentral:rRNA from 1 species